GAAUAUUGGACAAUGGGCGAAAGCCUGAUCCAGCCAUGCCGCGUGUGUGAAGACGGUCUUCGGAUUGUAAAGCACUUUAAGUUGGGAGGAAGGGUUGUAACCUAAUACCUUGCUGUUUUGACGUUACCGAAAGAAUAAGCACCGGCUAACUCUGUGCCCGCAGCCGCGGUAAUACAGAGGGUGCAAGCGUUAAUCGGAAGUACUGGGCGUAAAGCGGGCGUAGGUGGUUCGUUAAGUUGGAUGUGAAAUCCCCGGGCUCAACCUGGGAACUGCAUCCAAAACUGGCGAGCUAGAGUAGGGUAGAGGGUGGUGGAAUUUCCUGUGUAGCGGUGAAAUGCGUAGAUAUAGGAAGGAACACCAGUGGCGAAGGCGACCACCUGGGCUCAUACUGACACUGAGGUGCGAAAGCGUGGGGAGCAAACAG
rnacentral:rRNA from 1 species